rnacentral:rRNA from 1 species
CAGUAGCCGCGGUAAUACGGAGGGUGCAAGCGUUGUCCGGAUUUAUUGGGUUUAAAGGGUGCGUAGGCGGCUAUUUAAGUCAGCGGUGAAAGACUCCGGCUCAACCGGAGCAGUGCCAUUGAUACUGGAUAGCUUGAGUGUUGGAGGGGUACAUGGAAUUGAUGGUGUAGCGGUGAAAUGCAUAGAUACCAUCAGGAACACCGAUAGCGAAGGCAUUGUACUGGCCAACAACUGACGCUGAGGCACGAAAGCAUGGGGAGCGAACAGGAUUAGAUACCCCCGUAGUCCCUGUCUCUUAUAC